UGGGGAAUAUUGCACAAUGGGGGAAACCCUGAUGCAGCGACGCCGCGUGAACGAAGAAGGUAUUCGUAUCGUAAAGUUCUGUCCUAUGGGAAGAUAAUGACAGUACCAUAGAAGAAAGCUCCGGCUAAAUACGUGCCAGCAGCCGCGGUAAUACGUAUGGAGCGAGAGUUGUCCGGAAUUAUUGGGCGUAAAGGGUACGCAGGCGGUUUAAUAAGUCGAAUGUUAAAGAUCGGGGCUCAACCCCGUAAAGCAUUGGAAACUGAUAAACUUGAGUAGUGGAGAGGAAGGUGGAAUUCCUAGUGUAGUGGUGAAAUACGUAGAUAUUAGGAGGAAUACCAGUAGCGAAGGCGACUUUCUGGACACAAACUGACGCUGAGGUACGAAAGCGUGGGGAGCAAACAGG
rnacentral:rRNA from 1 species